AAAUGCUGGGAACAUGAGCGUGCAGCCCAGUUGGGACGCGCGAGGACCCCUGCAGGUGACCGGGGAUCCUCCCGCCUCCUCCCCAAGCAAAGCGCGGUUGCCCCAGGGAGUGGGGUCAGGGGCGGAGGUAACCCCGGGCUGAGAAGGGGCGUGGGGUGGGCGGGCCUUGCCGCCGUUCCAUCCCGGGAGGGUCGGCUUAGUGGGCGGUGGGAGGGGCCCCAGGACGGGCCCAGCGGGUGGCUACGGCACUGCUAGCAGCCGUUUGCCGUGCCCAGUCCGGCCGCCCCCGCCACGGUGAACUUUCACCCCCGGCGCGCGGCGGCGGCGGGUCACGUGAUCAGGGCCAACAUGGCCGCCGCCGCCGCUGGGAGCUGAGUGCCGCCGCCGCCGGGCAGCCAGGGGGAAUCCGCCCGCAUCGCCGCUCUCGCCAGCCCGGCGCCCGCGGGGCCUGGGGUGCCGGAAGCUCGAGCUGGAGCGGCGCCGUGAGACGGCCGCGGGGUCUCGUUAGAGCAGCCCACGGCGGCUAUGCCGAGGGCCCGGAGCGGCCGGCGGAGCAGGGGUGCCGGCGGGAGGGAGGAAGUAGACCUUCCUGCGAGUGCGAGCCAACCGGCAGACCCGGCUGAAUGAAACAGAAGGAGUGUGAAAGAGACCAUAGCAUCAAAGUUUCCUCCAGUGCUGUGGAGGCCAGGCUUAAUUAAACCUUGGUGGAACACAUGACAAAGCAGCAUCCUAUCCCAAGUGAGCUGUUUCACUGUCGCUCCAUGCCUUUCUGAUGCCUAGUAUUGGAUUUCCAUACCCACUCUUGCUGUAGAUUGCCAGAUUGAUUCAAGCUUGAUAUUCUAAGGGUUUAAGGCAGUGAAGGUAUAUGGACCUAGAUUUUGCCACACAGUCAGGUGGGGCACUAAAACAUAAUCAUACCUUCUUCAGUAAGAGAAACUGUAAUAGGAAACUGAAGAUAUGGACCAGGUUACAGACCAGAUUCUCGGACUCCAUGCUCAGUCCUGGUAGGAUAGUGACCUUCCUGUUGGUUUGGGUCUGUCUAGGGGUACUCCAUUGUAGAGUUGGCAUCAUUCCCUGCCUCAGACUCUGAACAAACAGGAGCUGGGGCCCCAAGUGCAUGUUCUUGUUACUCUUGGUACCCUAUCACUUACAGAAUCAGUAUUUGUUGAUGCUGAUCCUGAUCCGUAGGAAG